rnacentral:ribozyme from 1 species
AGGAGCAAAUCGCCGAGUUCAAGGAGGCUUUCUCCCUGUUCGACAAGGACGGUGAUGGAACAAUCACCACCAAGGAGCUUG